rnacentral:rRNA from 1 species
CCAUGGGAUGAGCUGUGGAUAGCGGAGAAAUUCCAAUCGAACUCGGAGAUAGCUGGUUCUCCUCGAAAUAGCUUUAGGGCUAGCGUCGGGUAAUUGAGUAGUGGAGGUAGAGCACUGAAUGGGCUAGGGGCUGACAACAGUUACUGAACCCUAUCAAACUCCGAAUGCCAUAUACUUGUACCCCGGCAGUCAGACUACGAAUGAUAAGAUCCGUGGGCAAAAGGGAAACAGCCCAGACCAUCAGCUAAGGUCCCAAAGUGUAAGUUAAGUGGGAAAGGAUGUGGGAUUUCUAAGACAACUAGGAUGUUGGCUUAGAAGCAGCCACUCAUUUAAAGAGUGCGUAAUAGCUCACUAGUCGAGAGAUCCUGCGCCGAAGAUGUAACGGGGCUCAAACUUACCACCGAAGCUAUGGAUGUGUACUAUGUACACGUGGUAGAGGAGCUUUCUGUACAGGUUGAAGUCAUACCGUAAGGAGUGGUGGACAGUACAGAAGUGAGAAUGCUGGCAUAAGUAGCGAAAAACAAGUGAGAAUCUUGUUGACCGAAUAUCUAAGGUU